rnacentral:rRNA from 1 species
CCUACGGGUGGCUGCAGUGGGGAAUAUUGCACAAUGGGCGCAAGCCUGAUGCAGCCAUGCCGCGUGUGUGAAGAAGGCCUUCGGGUUGUAAAGCACUUUCAGCGGGGAGGAAGGCGUUAAGGUUAAUAACCUUGGCGAUUGACGUUACCCGCAGAAGAAGCACCGGCUAACUCCGUGCCAGCAGCCGCGGUAAUGCGGAGGGUGCAAGCGUUAAUCGGAAUUACUGGGCGUAAAGCGCACGCAGGCGGUCUGUCAAGUCGGAUGUGAAAUCCCCGGGCUCAACCUGGGAACUGCAUUCGAAACUGGCAGGCUAGAGUCUUGUAGAGGGGGGUAGAAUUCCAGGUGUAGCGGUGAAAUGCGUAGAGAUCUGGAGGAAUACCGGUGGCGAAGGCGGCCCCCUGGACAAAGACUGACGCUCAGGUGCGAAAGCGUGGGGAGCAAACAGGAUUAGAUACCCCGGUAGUC